CGAGAAGCUUUUUAAUGAUCCUUCGGGUGAACUAAGAAGUGGAAAGUGGCGAACGGGUGAGUAACGCGUGGGUAACCUGCCUCAUGGAAAGGAAUAGCCUCGGGAAACUGGGAGUAAAGCCUUAUAUUAUUGAGUUGUCGCAUGGCAAUUCGAUGAAAACUCCGGUGCCAUGAGAUGGACCCGCGUCCCAUUAGCUAGUUGGUGAGAUAACAGCCCACCAGGGCAACGAUGGGUAACCGGUCUGAGAGGGCGAACGGUCACACUGGAACUGAGACACGGUCCAGACUCCUACGGGAGGCAGCAGUGGGGAAUAUUGCGCAAUGGGGGAAACCCUGACGCAGCAAUACCGCGUGAGUGAAGAAGGUUUUCGGAUCGUAAAACUCUUUUAUUGGGGAAGAAGAAGUGACGGUACCCAAUGAAGAAGUCCCGGCUAACUACGUGCCAGCAGCCGCGGUAAUACGUAGGGGACAAGCGUUGUCCGGAAUCACUGGGCGUAAAGGGCGCGUAGGCGGUUUUAUAAGUCAGAUGUGAAAGGUACCGGCUCAACCGGUGACGUGCAUUUGAAACUGUAAGACUUGAGUACUGGAGAGGCAAGUGGAAUUCCUAGUGUAGCGGUGAAAUGCGUAGAUAUUAGGAGGAACACCGGUGGCGAAGGCGGCUUGCUGGACAGAUACUGACGCUGAGGUGCGAAAGCGUGGGGAGCGAACAGGAUUAGAUACCCUGGUAGUCCACGCCGUAAACGAUGAUGACUAGGUGUUGGGGAAACUCAGUGCCGCAGUUAACACAUUAAGUCAUCCGCCU
rnacentral:rRNA from 1 species